GUCGAGCGAAGUCUUCGGACUUAGCGGCGGACGGGUGAGUAACGCGUGGGAACAUACCCUUUGGUACGGAAUAGCCUCGGGAAACUGGGAGUAAUACCGUAUACGCCCUUUGGGGGAAAGAUUUAUCGGAGAAAGAUCGGCCCGCGUUAGAUUAGAUAGUUGGUGGGGUAAUGGCCUACCAAGUCUACGAUCUUUAGCUGGUUUGAGAGGAUGAUCAGCAACACUGGAACUGAGACACGGUCCAGACUCC
rnacentral:rRNA from 1 species